ACUUUGGGAAACGAACCACCCUACAUCUGACCCGCUGAGCGCUAUCGAAACAGAAGGCCUACCGAUCGACCGCUUGAGCUGCCUUUCAAACGUUCACUGGGGAGAUUUCACUUUGGAUCAUAAGUCUACAGGUUAGCAGUAAUGAAGCUAUUGAGCAGUCGGUGCAAAUUAAGCUCUUAGAAUUCCAGCUUUUUCACUAAGAGCAAAAGAUACUGUGCGGAAUGCGAACCACUGAGGUGUUAUUUAUGUAUGAUCUAAAAUAUAACAAUCUUAGAAAGCAGGGCCAUCCCAUUUACUAAUUGAGGAAUUAUUGCAUUUAAGUGAGUGCUCUAUUUUGCAUGUGUGAAAUCUCUCUUCUCUAAGGGGAAAAAGUGAGAUGAGGAAUGGGAAGUUCCUGCUCCCUUUUAUGGCGCUAUUCCUGAUGGGCUGCUUGUUUUCGGAGAAUCCCCUCGUUGGCACAACGGUGUUUGAAGGGGAAGGACACGUGAAGGAAAGUCCCCUUCCCUGUCUUGUCCCUGAUGCGGAAGGAAGCAGUGGUAAGAAAUGGGAUCCAAAUCAACUUUGGAUCUAAGAGAAGUAAGAUAUCCGAGUGGCUGUGGGGACCCGGAUGAGGAAGGCGUCAAGGUCCGCCUCCCUCCGGAAGGGCGGGUGUGAAGAGACGGACUGCCGGGAGGAGUCCUUUUAUCAGGCUGUCCUUAAGGCUUGGACUGGGUCACGUUUCUAUGAAAGAAAUCCAGAUAUUUAAUCUAGUUUAAACAAUCACCACCACCUUUCUGUAAACUGUAGAUCCCUUGGUAUUAUACCCAGAUUCGAACAGCGAACCUGCCAAAAUGAGCCUAUGAAAACCACACACUGCUGUGAUGACUCACAAUCCCCCGACAUUCCUGUUAGUAACAAGAAGCCAACCAACAAGCAAUUCGGACGUCAUGACCUACGGCAAAGUACCAAAGCCGGGCACCCCGGUGGGAAGGAAACGUCAGUGCGUCACCUUGGAGCGCGGGGAGAGCUACGCGUGCAAGAACGGAGGUGAACAUGCUAUCAACAGGCCACAUAGCAGGUACUUGGUAGGCGUCAGAGUGCACGCCUCAGCUACUCAGACAGACUCCCCGGAAGUGAGACCUGGACGCGAGCAUCCUGAAAAGGGUCUCCACGUGACUCUGACGCACGUCCCUGAGUAAGAAACGCUGGAGGAGGAAGAGGAGUCCAGUGAAGAGGUGAGAUGGGCCAAGCACCACGUACUCUUUAGACUAAUCGGUGUUGAGUCAUAUUUGUGUUAUAAACUUUACAGGGAAGAGAGCCAAGCUAUCACUACAAACUGACUUCUAAUCUAUGUUUUCACAAGUAUCAGCCCAUUGGCAUCUACUGUGUUCUUGAGGCUCAGGCCUGGCUGCUUUCUGCACCGUCUUCCUGCGCCUGCUGUUUGUCCCCUACUCUCUGCACAGCAGAGUCACUUUAGACAAGUGUGUUACCGAGCGCUUCCCCUGUGCGGGCGGGCGGUAGCGUGCUUGGCUUUCUUACUUGAGGCUUUAAUUUAAUAGGGCUAUGGGUAGCUUAAUGUUUCCCACAGCUCUCCAACCCCGGCCCUGCGGAGGAUUUUUGCUCCUUUAGUAGAUGUAAUUAAAGUGGUUUCAAUUACUGCUAAGUCCAUGUACCAUCACACUGAUGACAGAAAUAUUUCCUCACGCAGAAACUCUGCAUUCUUGCUUGAUCCCUUGGCAAAUGGAGUUUUUUAAUGAAUGAAUUUAUAUCAUUUAAUCUGGAUACUUUUUUUUUAAUGUUUUAUUUAUUUUUGAGAGAGAGAGAGAGAGAAAGAGAAAGAGAGAGAGAGAGACAGAGUGAGCAGGGAAGUGUCAGAGAGAGAGAAGGAGGCACAGAAUUGGAAGACAGGCUCCAGGCUCUGAGUUGGCUGUCAGCACAGAGCCUGAUGUGGGGCUCGAACCCACGAACUGUGAGAUCAUGACAUGAGCCGAAGCCGGACACUUAACCCACUGAGCCACCCAGGCGCCCCUCUGGAUACUUUUAAAUUUAGUUUUAUUUUUGUAUUUUCUCAUUCUAUUUCAUUCCUUUUUAUAUUUCACUAGGGAAAUGUUUAACACUUUUUUUUCUGAUUUUAAUAUAAAAAAAUUUCUUUUCAGAGCAGAGUGACAGAAGCUAAAAAAAAAAUUCUAAACAGAAAAUUUGGAAAACAGAAGACAGGUUUACCACACAGCUGCCAUUUAUGUUUCGCCAAUUUUCCUUCUAGACUUUUCUUACAUAUUAUUUGGAAAGAAUUUAAAAGGCAUAUACACAAUUUCCUAUUUUAUUAUCAACUUUAUAACUUUUCACAACUUGCUAGACUGUCUUCAGAAUCUGCUUUGUAGAUAACUAUAUUUUACCAAAAGAAUAA
rnacentral:lncRNA from 1 species